AUUGAACGCUGGCGGCAGGCCUAACACAUGCAAGUCGAACGGUAGCACAGAGAGCUUGCUCUCGGGUGACGAGUGGCGGACGGGUGAGUAAUGUCUGGGAAACUGCCCGAUGGAGGGAGAUAACUACUGGAAACGGUAGCUAAUACCGCAUAACGUCGCAAGACCAAAGUGGGGGACCUUCGGGCCUCACACCAGCGGAUGUGCCUAGAUGGGAUUAGCUAGUAGGUGGGGUAAUGGCUCACCUAGGCGACGAUCCCUAGCUGGUCUGAGAGGAUGACCAGCCACACUGGAACUGAGACACGGUCCAGACUCCUACGGGAGGCAGCAGUGGGGAAUAUUGCACAAUGGGCGCAAGCCUGAUGCAGCCAUGCCGCGUGUAUGAAGAAGGCCUUCGGGUUGUAAAGUACUUUCAGCGGGGAGGAAGGCGGUGAAGUUAAUAACUUCACUGAUUGACGUUACCCGCAGAAGAAGCACCGGCUAACUCCGUGCCAGCCGCCGCAGUAA
rnacentral:rRNA from 1 species